UCUAGGAGGUCUUCCGCAGACCGAACCUACAGAAGAAGCGUGUGACUGCAACAUGAUGGUGGUGGGUCGCGUGACAGAUAGAUGUAAGCCUGUGGUAUUUUGACAGAUCUGGGGUCAGAUUAAAGGGGUCUUAUUAUGGAUGCUGUUCAGGAGCGGCUGACCGAGUUUUCACAAGAGGCUCACGAGCUGUACCUGAACACAUCGGUGCCCUAUUUGGACGGACCACCAGAACCGCUAGACUUCUACCGGGACUGGAUUGGCCCAAACAAGCCAUGUAUCAUCCGCAACGCCUUCAGCCAUUGGCCAGCGCUGGCCAGGUGGACCCCGGACUACCUCAGGGAGAAGAUCGGGUCAAAGGUCGUCAGCGUGGCAGUGACGCCUAAUGGCUAUGCUGACGCCGUUGCAGGCAAUUACUUUGUCAUGCCAGAGGAGCGAAAGAUGAGUUUCUCCUCCGUGCUCGACAUCAUUGAAGGAAAGGUACAGAGAAAUGGAGUCUUCUACGUCCAGAAGCAGUGUUCCAACCUGCUGCAGGAGCUGCCUGAGCUCAUCGAUGACCUGGAACCUCACGUUGCCUGGAUGAGCGCGGCGCUGGGAAAGAUGCCUGAUGCGGUGAAUUUUUGGCUCGGAGAAGAAAAGGCCAUAACGUCUAUGCACAAAGACCCCUACGAGAAUCUCUACUGUGUCAUUUCUGGAGAGAAGCACUUCAUCCUGCUCCCACCCACUGAUCGACCCUUCAUCCCCUACGUAACCAUGUUAACCAUCUGUCAGGUGUGUAUCGCCCGGCCGUUUACCUCGAGCAGGACAGCGGCGAGUUUAAGGUCGUCGGUACAGAGGACUCGCAGAAGGUCCCUUGGAUCCCUCUGGACCCACUGGAACCAGACUUGGAGCAGUACCCACAGUACCGCUGGGCUCAGCCUCUACGGUGCAGCGUGAAGGCAGGAGAGAUGCUGUACCUGCCGUCGCUGUGGUUCCACCACGUUCAGCAGUCACAUGGAUGCACCGCAGUGAACUUUUGGUACGACAUGGAGUACGACAUCAAGUACAACUACUUCCAGCUGCUGGAGUCCCUGUGUGAGGCCCCAGGCCGCCACGAGUUUAGGAACGGUGUAAGAAACCAGCGGAGAACAGAAAGUGCUUCAGAGUGACCUUAAUGCAUUUUAGAACAAAGGUGUUCUUGUUUGUUCUAGUCUGAUGCACACGGGUCCUGUUCUGACCCGAGCUUUGAGAACCAGUGACACUGGAAUACCAGAUGUGGAUUAAAAUCCAUCCAGAUCUUUAGCAGAAUGAAA